rnacentral:lncRNA from 1 species
UUUGUCCAUAAAAUCUGAAAACACACGAAAAUGACUUUAAACAUUAAAAUAACUAAGGAAACACGACAUAAAUGCACAAGAACAAGCCAACUAAGUCGCAUAAAUAUGCUCCUAUCAAAUUCCCCCACACUUAGCUUUUGCUAGUCCUCGAGCAAAACAAAGAGAUAAAACGAAACAAAGUAAAUAAAACACAACCUAAACCUUCCAACAUUUGCCUCAGGGAUUUCUAAUGCACAUGACAUGUUAAAAAUCAUUAUCCCCACAUAUUUGAAUCAUCUUCACACUUAAACAUGUACUUAAUCAUAGUCACUACUUACUUGUUCACAAUUAAUCGAUUAAAACAAUGUUUUUGAUGUAGUAACAUGCCUUAGAGAAUUUACUCAAUUCCUUUCAAAGUAUGCACUCAAUUUUCACUCAGAUUUUCUAACUACACACCCUAUACUAGUUAUAUGUGAGAAGAUUGAUGUAGAUAUGAAAACGAACGCUCACAUAUAUGUAUCACAAAGAAAGCAAUUUCUGGAGUUAAUAAGCAAGUUUAGAUAUGAUCUCAUGAAUGGAAUGCUACUACUUAGAUGCGAGAACCAGUGACACCAUAUGCUCAUAUCAAUUUCAAACUCCACAUAUUAAAAUGCAUGACACUCAAGAUGAAGUUAAGGGUUGUAACGGGGCUUGGGGUGAUGGCCAACAAUUGAAGGAUAAGGAUAACAAUCGUUCUUAAAGCAAUAGCAAGUGAAGUAAUGAAAUUGAAACUUAGAAUUCACUUAGAUUGCAGAAAUCAGCUUUUAGACACGAAUGGAAAAUUCAAACAAUAUUUAGGGCCGAAUUCUAUGUUUUGGACCAUUUCUUCAACAAGCAGCACUUUAAAACUCUUUUUCGCAUAUAUAUUUUUUUUUUUUUUUCAACUCUUCUUUUCUUUUCAACAAGCAUAAUAACUCACACUUCCCCCACACUUGUUUUCUGCCAUACAUUAAUCAAAAGAAAUUCAAUUUGAAUCAUGCUUUACUAUGCUUCAAGAACAAGGGUAUGGAUGGUCCUAAACUAGGCUAGGUAAGGAUAAUGUGGUUUAACAAAGAAUGUAGGCUAUCAAGGCUCAAUGGGGUUAACUUAAACAUAUAACGAUAUGGGAUACAUGGCAGUUUGGCUUUGGUGGUGGUAACUACACAACUUCAUCUUGAAUAUGUGUUAUGCAAAUCAAUAUCAUGCUUUGAAUGAAAUGGGCAUGAGUUCUAGCAUUUGGAACUAAAUGAUGAAACGCCUUCUAAGUAGUAACCAAGCAAAGAAAAAUGAGAUCAUGCAACGACUUUAGAAAACAAUAAUGCACAGAUUAUCAACUCUCCAAAUAACGUUUAGGCUCAAGUCUCACAAGGUUGUAGCGUUAGUUUGAGUUCUUUCCUUCAAGCAUGUUACAAAAACUAAUUUUUUUUUCUUUUAUGAUUACAUGUGAUUUCAUAAGUUAUAACCAUAACCACGCAUAAAUAAAGAGUAAAUCAAACUUUCAUCCAUGUUUAUAACGCUCUUUAACAGUCAUGCAAUUACAAACCGAAUCCUCAUCAUUGUGUUGGAAGGUACCCUAAGACACAAAUAAGCGCACAAAAACAACUCUUUUUUGGAUUUUCAAAAACAAUUUUUCAAAUUUUUAUGAAUUUUCGGAUUUUUAUGUCAAAACACACUGAAACACUCCAAAACAGCUUAAAAAAAUACUUAAAACAACAAGGAACAACACUAGAAGUAAUGGGUGAUAAAUUUCUACGAAUUUCAUGC